CGAGAAAGCCCGCAAGGGUGAGUAAAGCGGCGCACGGGUGCGUAACACGUGGGUAAUCUGCCCUGGAGCCCGGAAUAACUUCCCGAAAGGGAUGCUAAUGCCGGAUGAGACCACGGGAGCUCCGGCUCCCGCGGGAAAAGGUGGCCUCUGUAUACAAGCUAUCACUUCAGGAUGAGCCCGCGGCCCAUCAGCUAGUUGGCGGGGUAAUGGCCCACCAAGGCAACGACGGGUAGCUGGUCUGAGAGGACGAUCAGCCACACUGGAACUGAGACACGGUCCAGACUCCUACGGGAGGCAGCAGUGGGGAAUCUUGCGCAAUGGGCGAAAGCCUGACGCAGCAACGCCGCGUGUGUGAUGAAGGUCUUCGGAUCGUAAAGCACUGUCGCGAGGGACG
rnacentral:rRNA from 1 species